rnacentral:lncRNA from 1 species
UAGCUGGGCUUGGGGCGGGGCCGAGACGGAGCGAGGGGUCCAGGGUGUGGGAAACGGGGAGGGGUUUGAGGAGGGGAUCGGAAUGUGGCUCAAGUUCGGGAGGCGUUACCUGCGGAGGGUUUGAGGCAGGCCCAGGAGCGAGCCCAUGGUCUUCCGACGCGGGGCCAGGGGCGGGGCCCAGGAUCCGGAGCUUCGUGCGGGGCCGAGUCCAGGUUUGGGGCCCGGGAGGCGGGGCCAGUUAGGGCGAGGGUCCCUGGGAUCGUCGGGUCAGGCCUUGGGCUAACGUAGGCACUCUCGCAGUUCCUCCGCCUUCAGGAAGGUCUUUUCAGCAGGGGCCUUACGGGUGCAUGCUUCGGUCCUGGAGGCCUUAUCCUAGCCUCCUCUCCAUCAGCGCCACCCGUCUGGGGCCCGAAAGGAGGGAGCUUUCCCUCUGUCCCCCAGCCUUUGGACUGUCACUAAACAAGCCAUUCGUUCAUCAAAUACUUUUUAAGCGCCUACCAUGUGCCUGACAAGGGAGAUGUAACGGUGAGAAAAACUAGGUGUGGUCCAGGCCCUUCAGGGGCUCAGGUGCUCGUGGAAGAAGUGGACAUUGAAGUACUUAUCACACAAAUGAGGAUAAAAGUACGAUAACGAUAUCUACCACGAAGCUGUUGUUCCCCACCAGAACCAAAUGAGCGCAAGAUCUGACAAAGAAAAAAAAAGAUAGGGUCUCUCUCUCUGCCACCCAGGCCAGAGUGCAGUUGACGCAGGGCAGGGGAGCCCCGAAGUGGAGCAUAGUGUGUCCGGAACUGGUGGGUUCUUGGUCUCACUGACUUCAAGAAAGAAGCCGCGGACCCUCGCGAGACGGGGUCUUGCUCUGUUGCUCAAGCUGGA